ACGAACGCUGGCGGCGUGCUUAACACAUGCAAGUCGAACGGAAAGGCCCUGCUUUUGUGGGGUGCUCGAGUGGCGAACGGGUGAGUAACACGUGAGUAACCUGCCCUUGACUUUGGGAUAACUUCAGGAAACUGGGGCUAAUACCGGAUAGGAGCUCCUGCUGCAUGGUGGGGGUUGGAAAGUUUCGGCGGUUGGGGAUGGACUCGCGGCUUAUCAGCUUGUUGGUGGGGUAGUGGCUUACCAAGGCUUUGACGGGUAGCCGGCCUGAGAGGGUGACCGGCCACCUUGGGACUGAGAUACGGCCCAGACUCCUACGGGAGGCAGCAGUGGGGAAUAUUGCACAAUGGGCGGAAGCCUGAUGCAGCAAUGCCGCGUGCGGGAUGACGGCCUUCGGGUUGUAAACCGCUUUCGCCUGUGACGAAGCGUGAGUGACGGUAAUGGGUAAAGAAGCACCGGCUAACUACGUG
rnacentral:rRNA from 1 species